UGAGGAAUAUUGGGUCAAUGGGCGAGAGCCUGAACCAGCCAAGUAGCGUGCAGGAAGACGGCCCUACGGGUUGUAAACUGCUUUUAUGAAGGAAUAAAGUCACCCACGUGUGGGUGUUUGCAUGUACUUUAUGAAUAAGGACCGGCUAAUUCCGUGCCAGCAGCCGCGGUAAUACGGAAGGUCCGGGCGUUAUCCGGAUUUAUUGGGUUUAAAGGGAGCGUAGGCCGGAGAUUAAGCGUGUUGUGAAAUGUAGUGGCUCAACCUCUGCACUGCAGCGCGAACUGGUCUUCUUGAGUACGCACAACGUGGGCGGAAUUCGUGGUGUAGCGGUGAAAUGCUUAGAUAUCACGAAGAACUCCGAUUGCGAAGGCAGCUCACGGGAGCGCAACUGACGCUGAAGCUCGAAAGUGCGGGUAUCGAACAGGAUUAGAUACCCUGGUAGU
rnacentral:rRNA from 1 species